ensembl:lncRNA
GUCUCCCCCAGGUCUCCAGGUCUCUGGAGGUCUCAAUGUCUCCCAAGGUCUCCAGGACUCUGGGGGUCUCUAGUGGAGUCUCCAGGUCUCUGGGGGUCUCCAUGAGUCUUGGAUUCAUGGAUUCUCCAGGUCUCUGGAGAGACCUGGAGUAUUUGGGAGUCUCCAGGUCUCUUGAGGCCUGGAGCUCUUUGGGGCUCUCUAGGUAUUUGGAGAUGUCCAGGACUCUUAAGGUCUCCAGGUCUCUGGGGGUCUCUAGAUCUUUGGGGGACUCCAGAUCUUUGGGGCUCUCUAGGCAUUUGGGGAUAUCCAGGUCUCUCCAGGUCUCCAGGUCUCUGGGGGUCUCUAGAUCUUUUGGGGACUCCAGGUCUUUGGGGGGUCUCAAGGAUUCUUGGUGUCUCCAUGUCUCCCAGGGUCUCAAUGUAUCUUGGGGUCUCCUGGUGUCUGGGGUUCUCCAUUAGUCUUGGAUUCUCCAGGUCUCUGGAGGUCUCCAGGACUCUGGGGCUCUCAAGGACUCUGGGGGUCUCCAGUGAGGUUGUCAGGUCUCUUGAGGCCUGAAAUUCUUUGGGGCUAUCCAGGUCUUUGGGGGUCUCUGGGUCUUUGGGGGUCUCCAGGACUUUGUGGGGCUCCAGGCCCCUCGGGGUUUCCAGGUCUUUGGGGGUCUCCAGGAUUCCAGGGAUCUCCAGGUCUUUUGAGG